rnacentral:rRNA from 1 species
CACAGCAGUCAUAUCACCCUACAACUCACAACUGGCAGACCACUGAAGCUAAGCAGGUAUGAGCUUGGCUAGUACCUUGAAUGGGAGACCUCCUGGGAAAAACUAAGGUGACUGCUGGAA